rnacentral:rRNA from 1 species
AGUGAACGCUGGCGGUAGGCCUAACACAUGCAAGUCGAACGGCAGCACAGUAAGAGCUUGCUCUUACGGGUGGCGAGUGGCGGACGGGUGAGGAAUACAUCGGAAUCUACUUUUUCGUGGGGGAUAACGUAGGGAAACUUACGCUAAUACCGCAUACGACCUACGGGUGAAAGCAGGGGAUCUUCGGACCUUGCGCGAUUGAAUGAGCCGAUGUCGGAUUAGCUAGUUGGCGGGGUAAAGGCCCACCAAGGCGACGAUCCGUAGCUGGUCUGAGAGGAUGAGCAGCCACACUGGGACUGAGACACGGUCCAGACGCCUACGGGAGGCAGCAGUGGGGAAUAUUGGACAAUGGGCGCAAGCCUGAUCCAGCCAUACCGCGUGGGUGAAGAAGGCCUUCGGGUUGUAAAGCCCUUUUGUUGGGAAAGAAAAGCAGCAGGUUAAUACCCCGCUGUUCUGACGGUACCCAAAGAAUAAGCACCGGCUAACUUCGUG